rnacentral:lncRNA from 1 species
UUAAAUUUUAGAUAGAUAAUUAAACAUUAGUUGGUUUUCUUUUUUUUAUUAUUAUUUAGUUUAGAUUAGAUAUUAACUAGUUUUUAUAAUUUGUAACAAUAAUUGUAUAUAUCUACAUUGGAUUCUCUAUUCCAUAAAAAAACAAAAUUCAAAAAUUCACUCUGAUUUCCUCCCAACGUCUCUCACGCGUACACACUGCUCCACUAUCCCACUAUCACUCAGUAACUACCUUUCCUCUCUCUCCCAUCAGAAAAUGACAAAAAAAAAGAGGAUACAAAAAGGUCUCAGCACUGUUCACUCAUUGGAUCAUNNN